UACGAAGGGGGCUAGCGUUGUUCGGAAUUACUGGGCGUAAAGCGCGCGCAGGCGGUCUUCCAAGUCAGUGGUGAAAGCCCGGAGCUCAACUCCGGAACUGCCAUUGAAACUGUUAGACUUAGGAGAUGAGAGAGGUGAGUGGAAUUCCCAGUGUAGAGGUGAAAUUCGUAGAUAUUGGGAAGAACAUCGGUGGCGAAGGCGGCUAUCUGGACCGUAACUGACGCUGAGGCGCGAAAGCGUGGGGAGCAAACAGG
rnacentral:rRNA from 1 species